GCCUGCGUUAUCGCCGACGGCAUCAUGCCGUUCGCAGUCGACAUCGCGGAGGAGCUCGGCGUCCCGGCUCUCGCCUUCCGCACGGCCAGCGCGUGCAGCUACUUGGCGUACCUGUCCGUGCCAAGGCUCGUGGAGCUCGGCGAGGUCCCCUUCCCUGCAGACGACCCGGUGCGCGGCGUCCCAGGGAUGGAGGGCUUCCUACGGCGGCGAGACCUUCCACGUGGAGUCGGCCGCAGCGAGGACGGCGCCUUCGACCCCAUGCUGCUGGCGAUCGCCGAGGGCAUCGCUCACGCCGGCAAGGCGCGGGCACUCAUAAUAAACACCGCCGCGUCCAUGGAGGGUCCGGCGCUCGCGCGCAUCGCGCCGCACAUGCGCGACCUCUUCGCCAUAGGCCCUCUCCAUGCAGAGCAUGACGCAGCCGCUAGCCUGUGGAGCGAGGACGACAGCUGCAUGGCGUGGCUCGACGGCCACGGGGACCGCUCCGUUGUGUACGUGAGCCUAGGGAGCCUCGCCGUCAUCUCGCACGAGCAGUUCACCGAGUUCCUGGCCGGCCUCGUCGCCACCGGCUACGCCUUCCUCUGGGUGCUCCGGCCGGACAUGGUCAAGACCACAAGCUCCGUGCUCCGAGAAGCCGUCAAAGAGGCGGGCAGCAAGGCGCGCGUGGUGGAGUGGGCGCCGCAGAGGGGCGUGCUGCGGCACCGCGCGGUGGGGUGCUUCCUGACGCACGGUGGGUGGAACUCGACGCUGGAGGCCGCGGCCGAGGGCGUGCCGAUGGUGUGCUGGCCCUUCUUCGCCGACCAGCAGAUAAACAGCCGCUUCGUAGGCGCGGUGUGGAGGACGGGUUUGGACAUGAAGGACCUUUGCGACAGGGCCAUCGUAGAGGGGAAGGUGAGGGAAGCCAUGGAGUCCGGCGAGCUCAGAGGCAGGGCCCAUGCAAUGGCGCAGCAGUUGAAGCUAGACGUUGCGGUGGGGGGUUCGUCGUCAUGCGACCUGGAGCGGCUCGUCGGCUUCAUCAGGGAGCUCAGACCCAUGCAAGUCCAGUCAGGAUGA
rnacentral:rRNA from 1 species